rnacentral:lncRNA from 1 species
UGGAUGUUGAUGUUACAAAAUGCAGAAUUAUUUUAUCUUGCGUAUAGUUGGAUGCAUUAGAUACCUUAAACUAUUUAUCUCACCAUAUAUAUCAUAAUGAUAAAACAAGUUAUCUCAUAUAUAUGAUGAUUAACUUAUCCCAAGAUAACUUAUCAUAGGAUAGCUUGUUCUCAAACAAACGAGGGUGUCUGCUAUGAGCAUGAGAGAUAAAAUUAUAUAUUAUGUGUUGGAUUAAAAACAUUAAUGUAAUUAAUACCACAAUUAUUUAUUUUAGCACUUAUACUCUAAUCAUAUCCUUUUCAAAUAAUCACUUAAAGUCCAAGUUAAAUCAAUACUUAAAAGGUGGAAUGACGUGGAAGACCCUUGUAUUCGACUUCGUUUGUCACUUAAAUCCUUUUACUUAGAUAAAAA